rnacentral:rRNA from 1 species
GAUGAACGCUGGCGGCGUGCCUAAUACAUGCAAGUCGAGCGAACAGACGAGGAGCUUGCUCCUCUGACGUUAGCGGCGGACGGGUGAGUAACACGUGGAUAACCUACCUAUAAGACUGGGAUAACUUCGGGAAACCGGAGCUAAUUCCGGAUAACAUGUUGAACCGCAUGGUUCAACAGUGAAAGACGGUCUUGCUGUCACUUAUAGAUGGAUCCGCGCCGCAUUAGCUAGUUGGUAAGGUAACGGCUUACCAAGGCAACGAUGCGUAGCCGACCUGAGAGGGUGAUCGGCCACACUGGAACUGAGACACGGUCCAGACUCCUACGGGAGGCAGCAGUAGGGAAUCUUCCGCAAUGGGCGAAAGCCUGACGGAGCAACGCCGCGUGAGUGAAGAAGGUCUUCGGAUCGUAAAACUCUGUUAUUAGGGAAGAACAAAUGUGUAAGUAACUAUGCACGUCUUGACGGUACCUAAUCAGAAAGCCACGGCUAACUACGUG